rnacentral:rRNA from 1 species
AUUGAACGCUGGCGGCAGGCCUAACACAUGCAAGUCGAACGGUAACAGGAAGAAGCUUGCUUCUUUGCUGACGAGUGGCGGACGGGUGAGUAAUGUCUGGGAAACUGCCUGAUGGAGGGGGAUAACUACUGGAAACGGUAGCUAAUACCGCAUAACGUCGCAAGACCAAAGAGGGGGACCUUCGAGCCUCUUGCCAUCGGAUGUUCCCAGAUGGGAUUAGCUAGUAGGUGGGGUAACGGCUCACCUAGGCGACGAUCCCUAGCUGGUCUGAGAGGAUGACCAGCCACACUGGAACUGAGACACGGUCCAGACUCCUACGGGAGGCAGCAGUGGGGAAUAUUGCACAAUGGGCGCAAGCCUGAUGCAGCCAUGCCGCGUGUAUGAAGAAGGCCUUCGGGUUGUAAAGUACUUUCAGCGGGGAGGAAGGGAGUAAAGUUAAUACCUUUGCUCAUUGACGUUACCCGCAGAAGAAGCACCGGCUAACUCCGUG